CUAACAACUGGGGCUAACAACAAGGGCUACUAGUACUAUAUUUGUAUUAAACAUUUAAGUUACUCAAUAAUAUAAGUGAGUCAUCUUUGGAUAUCUAUGCAUUUUUAGCAGCCAGGAGAGAGAGAGUGAACAUAUAAUAUGGGACACUAGCAGUGAAUAAUAUAUGUUUCAUGAGAGAUAUUUUUAUAUUUAAACAAUUUGAAAGCCAUAUAUAUAUGUGACCUUACAUCAAGCAAGAAAAUGCACUCUGUUAACAUGGCUAACAAGCUCUCUUUCUUCUUUUGCAUUCUCCUUGUUUCACUGGCUGUUGAUUCUUUUUGGUCCUCAAACACUCAAGUGAUGGCUUUGCGAGAUCUACCUUUAUUAGAAGAAGCUGUACAAGUAAUUGAGCAGAUUGUACUUCGAGAUGUGCGUUGUUUCGACCGUUGCAAAACUAAUGCAGAUUGCAAAAAUGUAAUAGGCCCGAGAAAGUGUACGAAUUGUCGUAAGGGUUAUACGUCUGUGAAAAAGUGCUACGCUAAUUGACCAAUUUUGUGUGUUAACUUGUAAGAUUAAGAAUAUAAUUAAGUGACUUUAUCGUUCUGAAUCCUACUUCAUAUAAAAGAAAGCAACUAAGUUUAGGUGCUUCAGUUAUCAGUUUCAUGGUCGUUUGUUUGGCAUUUGUGCUCAAGGAUGUGAUGAUAGUUGUAUAUCAUAAUAAAUCAGUUCUUUUGGUUGUAAAAGCAAUUUACUGCA